GAUGAAGAACGCAGCGAAAUGCGAUAAGUAGUGUGAAUUGCAGAAUUUAGUGAAUCAUCGAAUCUUUGAACGCACAUUGCGCCCUAUGGUAUUCUGUAGGGCAUGCCUGUUCGAGCGUUAUUGAGACCUCAAGCUCUGCUUGGAAAUGGGCGCUUGUCUUGCCUUGCAGACUCGCCUUAAAACCAUUGGCAGCUGAUUUACAAUGUUUGGUGCACAGUACAUGAGCCCAAGUGUUGCAAUGAGUGGCCCAAAAGUAUACAAUAGAAGCUUAACCUCGGAUCAGGUAGGGAUACCCGCUGAACUUAAGCAUAUCAAUAAGCGGAGGA
rnacentral:misc_RNA from 1 species